rnacentral:rRNA from 1 species
UGGGGAAUUUUGGACAAUGGGCGAAAGCCUGAUCCAGCAAUGCCGCGUGUGUGAAGAGGGCCUUCGGGUUGUAAAGCACUUUUGUCCGGAAAGAAAUCCUUGGCUCUAAUACAGUCGGGGGAUGACGGUACCGGAAGAAUAAGCACCGGCUAACUACGUGCCAGCAGCCGCGGUAAUACGUAGGGUGCAAGCGUUAAUCGGAAUUACUGGGCGUAAAGCGUGCGCAGGCGGUUUGCUAAGACCGAUGUGAAAUCCCCGGGCUCAACCUGGGAACUGCAUUGGUGACUGGCAGGCUAGAGUAUGGCAGAGGGGGGUAGAAUUCCACGUGUAGCAGUGAAAUGCGUAGAGAUGUGGAGGAAUACCGAUGGCGAAGGCAGCCCCCUGGGCCAAUACUGACGCUCAUGCACGAAAGCGUGGGGAGCAAACAGGAUUAGAUACCCUGGUAGUCCACGCCCUAAACGAUGUCAACUAGUUGUUGGGGAUUCAUUUCCUUAGUAACGUAGCUAACGCGUGAAGUUGACCGCCUGGGGAGUACGGUCGCAAGAUUAAAACUC